rnacentral:ncRNA from 1 species
GCCCUAACUGUUUAGUAGGGCACACUCUCGCACAAAGCGAGGGCUGGGAGAUGGUCAUUCCCGGCAAUAUGAAAGAAGGUGCGUGACCUCACCUUA